GACGAACGCUGGCGGCGUGCUUAACACAUGCAAGUCGAACGAUGAAGAAGAGAAACGCGAACUUCGGUUCAAAUUUCACUUCGGAUUAGUGGCAGACGGGUGAGUAACGCGUGAGCAACCUACCUCUUACAAAGGGAUAGCCUCGGGAGACCGUGAUUAAUACCAUAUGACACAUUCAUAAGGCAUCUUAAGAAUGUUAAAGCUACGGCGGUAAGAGAUGGGCUCGCGUCCCAUUAGCUAGUUGGUGAGGUAACGGCCCACCAAGGCGACGAUGGGUAACCGGACUGAGAGGGUGAACGGUCACAUUGGAACUGAGACACGGUCCAAACUCCUACGGGAGGCAGCAGUGGGGAAUAUUGCACAAUGGAGGGAACUCUGAUGCAGCGACGCCGCGUGAGCGAUGAAGGAAUUCGUUUCGUAAAGCUCUGUUCUAUGGGAAGAAAAGGACUGUACCAUAGGAGAAAGCCCCGGCUAAAUACGUG
rnacentral:rRNA from 1 species